AUGCAUCUAUUUGACAGGCCUGGAGCAGUUACCGUCUGCUACUCAGGUUUCCACGACAGAUGCAAGAAGAAGGCAUCCUCGCGCUUUCUGUCUGUCUGAUGGUGGCAGCCCAGAUUGAAUGGAGGAAUACAAGG
ensembl:snoRNA